rnacentral:lncRNA from 1 species
AAAUACUCAUUUUUGGUUGUGGAGCUUUCAUUGUGCACUGGAAUAUCUUGGGCACCAUCACCGUUUAAAACUUCGUCAAGUUCUGCAGCUUGAACAAAGGUAUUUCUAUCUUCAUCUUCAGUUGGUUUUGUCCAAGUACCAGCUCCUUCUGCUUCUUCCUUGCCUUUUCCUGCUGUAAAGUUUUCCUGUGGAAGAGAUAGAUAUAUUCUUCAAAAAAGUAUAUUUUAAAUACAUCAGUUCAUCACUUCAUUUUGAGGUAUUAGAUUUUUACCUCAUCCUCUGCUUGUUCUUCUGGAGUGCAAAUUUCAUAUUUUUGGUCCUGUUUCUCACUUUCUUUUCCUUGUGUACAUUCAGGGAGUGGCAGGCUUUCAUGCUUGGUAUUUGCAUCUUCAGUUUUACCUUCAAAUUCCUCAAUGGUUUCAUGGACUGUCUUUGUAGGAGGAGCUUCACAUAUUAUAUUUUCAUCAAGUUCUUUUGGCAGUUCGACUGCAGUUUCGUCUAUCACCGAGGUAUUUGAAUUUUGAUUUAUUAACACUUCAUCUUUCGCCAUUUCUUUGUCAGCAGCUCCUGUUCUUUCUUCUUCAUUCUCCAGAACAGCGAUGUUAGAGCUCUUAACCUACGUAACAGACAAAGCACACAUAUCUAUCAAUAUUUGACAAGGGAAUAGAAGACCCAUUCUUCUGUAAUAUAGGGCUCGAAAAACCGAAUUGAUUUAUGGAUAGAAUAUGACAUCAUAUUAUAAUAUUCCUGUGUUCUGGUAGCUAAUUAAUUUUGACUAUUAUAUCAGACAAAGCAUUGCUUUAUUGAUUCUGUUGCUUCAAUACUUCAACAAGACUAGUAUGGUAGUUCCUUAGACUAUCUAAUAUUGCAAGAAGCAAUUAUAUAAACGUCAACGUUUCUCUGAAACAUUUUUAUUUCUUAGGUGGCAAUCUUUAUUUCAAUUAGUGAACCUUCUAUUUUAUUUGCCAUGCAGGAUUAUUUUUAUAUAGACGCCCUACCAUACUAAAUAUCGAGGCCAUUAAAAUGGUAGAAGUGAAAGUAUGAGUGCUGAUAUUUGUAAUCUCCAGAAUGCCACACUUAUAUGACAUAUAAUGCUAAAAAGGUAAACUCAUACGUAUCUACCUCUUCAGUGUCUAUUAUAGCUGUAACCUCUUCACCACUCUUUCCCAGCUCUUUUUGGUGGUCAAUUGAUUCAUUUGCAUGUAAAAUUGUGUCUGGGUGUUCUACAGCCUUGUCAUCAGUCUCUUCAGAAACUUCUGACACCUGCAUGAUGAAUAUGACAUUUCAACAUAUGAAGAGGUUUGUGAACGAAAUAAAAUGAUUUUUUAUCUCUUCUUGCUUUACCUCACUCUCUAGGCAUCUCUCUGUGAUUACCUCUUCCUUGCGAGAACCAAGAUGGUAAUCUUCCAAGUCUUCAUCUCCCUUCAAUUGCAAUAUUAUAUUCCUUGGUUAGUACUUUAGUGGUAAGUCAACAGAUAGAAAACCAUAUAAAAUGAUUAAAGACAUUCAUUAGAAGAAAAAUUGAAGUCUCAGUGUUUGUACCUUCUCGCUCGAAAUGUCAACUUUCAUGCUUUCCUUUUCGCAUGGGGUUAUUUUUGGCUCGAAUAUAUCCUCUGCCAGAACAUUUUCAGACUUUAUUUCUGCAGCUGUUUCAGUAUUUUCUUCCUCUGUUUUCAUCUCCGUUGCUUUUGGAAUUAUGUCACAGCUUUGAACUUGAGCAAUAGAUUCAAGCACUUGAUUUUUGGACUCGUAUUCGCUUUCCUUUUCUUCAGGUGCAACCCCAAUUACACUUGACUCUGAUUUUUCAUCAAUUACCAUCACGUUACCGAUGAAUGCAUACUCACGAUCACCUUUUUCAAGUUCAAGCACUUGAUCUUUGGACUCUUGUUCGCUUUUCUUUUCUUCAGGUGCAACCCCAAUUUCUUCUGGUACUUCAGACAAAAAUCCAGCAACAUCCUGGUCUCUUGCCUCUAUGACAUUCGUAGCAGCAGAACUGAAGUCUGGUAUUUUCUGUUCGUGUGCUUCCUCUUCUUCACCUUUGUCUUCAUCAUUUCUUGUCUCCUUGUCAUCAGCAGUUGCUGUUUUUCCUGUCUGGAGCUCUUCUCUGUCUAUUGUCAGCUCUCUUUCAGAAGUGAAAUGAUCUACUUCCGAGGUUUCUGUGAAAGACUUUAUAGGGGCGUCAUUAGCCAUUGGUAUUGAUACCAACUCUUUGGUUUCUUCUACUGUUUCAUCUAAUAGUAUUUGUCCACAUUCUGUUUCUUCUUGCUCUCUUGCAUUAGGUUUUUGAUCAUCCUUUAGGACUUCACUCUCCUUGAUGUCUGUUUUUUCUGCUAUGUUGUCAUCUCGCGCAGGUAUCACCUCUUUGGUGACAUCAGAAUCAUUGGUACUUGCAAGACACAAUUGGACAUCCUUGUCUAAUUUUUCCGUGGAGGAAUCUUGGCAGGGUGCCGAAACAUGGAGGUCCUCAUCUUGUUUGUGAGCCU